UCUUUGUUCCUCCCAGAACUGACAUAUAAAACCCGCCAUUUUGGCGUGUCAGCCUUUUCCUCACUUAGACUGGAGGGUCUGCACGUGGGUUGGUUACGAGGCUUGUCAGAGAACCCACAAGGUGACAAGGCUAAGUCGAUACCAAACUACAAGAUCUUGGCCCUCCACAGAAGAUGUGGCGACUGCAGUCUGUUAACCUCUCUGGGAUAAUAGGGACGGUAGCAUCCCACCUCGCCAACAGCCAGUGAAAUUGCAGGGUGCUAAAUUCAACUGAAAUCCCAUAAUUAAAAUUCCUCAAACAUACAAGUAUUUUAUACAAUUUUAAAGAUAAACGUAUUGUAAAUCCAGCCACAGAGUCCGAUUUCAUAUGGGCUUUACGGCGAAAGCACGCCAAACGAUUGUUAGGUCGGCACCUAGCCACACAAAACCAUGAAGCCAUUUUCCAGCCAAGGAGAGCCCUCAGUCAGAUAGCAAUUAAAUAAACCUUUGAUCUUCAUCAGAUGGCACUGCCAUGUUACACAUGUGUUUUGUUCGAUAAAUUUCAUCUUUAUGUCCAAAAACCUCUUAUGAAAUUGGUGUUUUAUGUUCAGAAAUGCAUUGUCUCAAACAAACAUCCGGUGAAAGUGCAGAGGGCCACAUCAAAUUACAGAAAUAGUCAAAUAUAAACAUUGAUAAUAAAAAAAUAUACAAGUGUUAUGCAUGGAAAUAUAGAUAAACUUCUCAAUGCAACUACUGUCAGAAUUCAAAAAGGCUUUACGGCAAAAGCACACCGAUUAUUUUAGGUCAGCACCUAGCCACUGAAAAACAGUCAUUUUCCAAAGGUGUCACAAGUCAGAAAUAGCAUUAUAAAUAUUUGCUUACCUUUGAUCUUAACCAGAAUGCACUCCCAGGGAUCCUUGUUCCACAAUAAAUGUGUGUUUUGUUCGAUAAAGUCCAUUUAUGUCCAAAUACCUCUUUUGUUUGCGAGUUUAGUUCACAAACUCAAGAGGCGCGGGAUGGUCCAGGCGAAAGUUCAUACAAAGUUCUAUAACAGGUCGUAGAAAUAUGUCAAACGAUGUAUAGAAUAUAUCUUUAGGAUGUUUUUAUCAUAAAUAUUCAAUAAUGUUUCAACCGGACAAUUCCUUUGUCUUUAGAAAUGCAAUAGAAUGCAGCUAACUCUCGGGCAUGAGCGAGACUGAGCUCAUGGCACUCUGCUAUACACCUGGCUCAAACAAGGUUCUGAAGACUGUUGACAUCUAGUGGAAGCCUUAGGAAGUGCAAUAGGACCCCAUAGACACUGUAUAUUCGAUAGGCUUCCUAUUGGAUUUUUCCCUCAUUUCUUUUUGCCUGCCUUACGAGUUUUGUUAUACUCAGACGUCAUUCAAACCGUUUUAGAAACUUCGGAGUGUUUUCUAUUCAAAUCUACUAAUUAUAUGCAUAAUCUAGUUUUUGAGCCUGAGUAGCAGGCAGUUUACUCUGGGCACCUUAUUAUCCAAGCUACUCAGUACUGCCCCCCAGUACCAAAGAAGUUAACAUGGGGUGAGAUCUUUAAUGGAUUAUUUAGGGGCCUGUGUUUUGCACGAGGCACUUUUACCUGUAUUUCCAGAAUGAUCCAGCUGGUGUCACUUCAGUCCCUUUUAAUUAAAAAAAAAUGUAUCAACUAGCUCACCAAUUUACCAAAGCAGUAAGGAUUAUUCCCCCAACAUGACCAAGAUUGCGAAACAAUAUCCCUUUUGCUAAUAAUUCUGUAGAUGUGGGAAGAAUUGUUAAUACCAGGGUUGACUCAGCAAUGGAAAUGUGCUGACCUAAGUGAGAUUAUUCCUGAUUGUUAUGUAAGGCUGAAACAUUAAAAUAUUUUAAUCAGA